CUCUGAGGAAAGAGAGAACGUGCGGCGUGAUUCACAUACAGGCUAGAAAGUAGAAACUGCGCGUGUGCAGACAAUGUGCCAGUGACUGUGUGGGGAUGGAAGGAGGAAGGAACGGACUAAAAAGGGCACGGAGUACUUUCAAGGACAAAGACAUGGAGCAGGGUAGAGAGAGGACAUGAGGGGAAGUUGAGAAACAGAGGCAGUUCAGUCUCUGAAGUGCUCAGCCUCGCUCCUCUGUUCCUUGGCUCCUUACAGCUGAACAUGAGGCAGUACUUCUGAGACCCAUGGAGCAGCGAGGUGCCCUGUCGACUAGACCUGGCUAUACUAGGCCCUGGCCAUUUCUGCACUUGCCAGCUCCACUGUGUUCAGCAGUGUUCAGCCAGAUGUGUCGAUUGAUCACAUAUGCUAGAAAUAGAGAAGUCUGCUUCUUCCCAACAGAUACAUGUGUAAUGGAAAAGGAAGAGAUUCCAAGUGCUUUGCUCUUUACAAACCAGC